UACGGAGGGGGCUAGCGUUGUUCGGAAUUACUGGGCGUAAAGCGCACGUAGGCGGCUUUGCAAGUCAGAGGUGAAAGCCCGGGGCUCAACCCCGGAAUUGCCUUUGAGACUGCAUCGCUAGAACGUCGGAGAGGUGAGUGGAAUUCCGAGUGUAGAGGUGAAAUUCGUAGAUAUUCGGAAGAACACCAGUGGCGAAGGCGGCUCACUGGCCCGGUACUGACGCUGAGGUGCGAAAGCGUGGGGAGCAAACAGG
rnacentral:rRNA from 1 species